ensembl:lncRNA
UGGAGACAGGGUUCCUGUAUGUGCUCAUCGCCCCAUUGAAGUCUGUGCCAGGGUGGCUGUGGGGCAGAGAGCAUAACCAUGUAACCCCAGGUUGAUCCGCUAGCUGCUUUUCAGAAUGAUGUUCGCCUCCGGAGUCCUCAAACUGGCUUGUUUUUCUCCUAUCACAGCCAUUCAACUCUAAAGUUACCAUUGGCCUCAUGGUGAAAUCCCUGAGCAGUUUCCUUCCGAUCCGGCAACUGAGUUAGGAAGGACGCCUGUAUCUGGGUGUAUUAAUACACCAUCCAAAGUUGUGGACCACAAUAGAAAAUGACAGAUCAAAGCUGGGCACUUGAAAUGUAAGUCACGACUGUAAAAUGAAAUGGUCAAGAAUGCAAUAUUAAUGGUUUGCAAUGGUUUUUACAAUUGAUUUCAUCCUGUCCAACAUAUGCCUGCAAGCUCACAUUGGACCAAAACACAGCAUACAGGUAUCUGAUUCGGUCUAAGGAGAACAGGAACGUGACAUGGGGAAAUAAAAGGAACAGCUGUAUCUUGAUCACCCAGAGAAGUUUGAGGAAUGGUCACAAGUGCUGUGUAGAGAGGGUCUGACUGAACACUGUUACUGGGAGGUAGAGUGGAGGGGGAAGAGGGUUGAUAUAGGGGUGGCAUGUAGA